rnacentral:rRNA from 1 species
GGGGUGCAGCAGGCGCGAAAACUUCGCAAUGCGCGAAAGCGUGACGAGGUCAGCCCGAGUNCCGUCCGCUGAGGACGGCUUUUCUUUGGUUUAAGGAGCCGGGGGAAUAAGAGGAGGGUAAGUCUGGUGUCAGCCGCCGCGGUAAUACCAGCUUCUCGAGUGGUGGGGGCGAUUAUUGGNCNUAAAGCGUCCGUAGCUUGCUUGUCAAGUCUUCCGUCAAAUCCGACGAUUCAAUCGUUGGUCCGCGGAGGAUACUGUCAAGCUUGGGGGCGGAAGAGGCUGGCGGUAUUCCCAGGGUAGGGGUGAAAUCCUAUAAUCCCGGGAGGACCACCAGUGGCGAAGGCGNCCAGCUAGCACGCGCCCGACGGUGAGGGACGAAAGCUGGGGGAGCAAACCGGAUUAGAUACCCGGGUAGUCCCAGCUGUAAACGAUGCAGACUAGGUGUUGG